rnacentral:lncRNA from 1 species
GUACAGUGAAAACUCUUCGCCUCCGUUUGGUUUGGGGUUAAGAAAAAAAUAGCUAUUCCAGGAAUAGAGUUAAGUUCAGGGUUAAAGUGGGAUUAAAGUUUUUUUGUGUUUGGUUGGGGGUUGGAGUUAAUCUAGAAUAAUGAAAAAUAGUGUUUGGUUGGAUAGGUGGGAUAAGAAGAUAAUGAUUGAUAAAGAAGGAUAAUGAUUGGUUGGAUUACAUGUGAUAAGAAAGAUGUGAGUUAUUAUGAAUAAAAAAUAGUGUUUGGUUGGAGUUUGAUGGGGUUAGGUGGGAUUAGCUAACCCGGAAUAAUUUAUUUGAGGUAGGGUUAGGUGGGGUUAGCUAACCUAUUUUUUGAGGUGUUUGGAAAUAAAAUGGGGGUUAAGGGGUUAUUC